rnacentral:rRNA from 1 species
UACGUAGGGUGCAAGCGUUGUCCGGAAUUAUUGGGCGUAAAGAGCUCGUAGGCGGUUUGUUGCGUCGGCUGUGAAAUCCCGAGGCUCAACCUCGGGUCUGCAGUCGAUACGAGCAAACUAGAGUGUUGCAGGGGGGAGACUGAAUUCCUGGUGUAGCGGUGAAAAUGCGCAGAUAUCAAGGAGGAACACCGGUGGGCGAAGGCGGGGGUCUCUGGACAGUUC